rnacentral:rRNA from 1 species
CAUAGGUUAAUGAGGCGAACCGGGGGAACUGAAACAUCUAAGUACCCCGAGGAAAAGAAAUCAACCGAGAUUCCCCCAGUAGCGGCGAGCGAACGGGGAGGAGCCCAGAGCCUGAAUCAGUGUGUGUGUUAGUGGAAGCGUCUGGAAAGGCGCGCGAUACAGGGUGACAGCCCCGUACACAAAAAUGCACAUAUUGUGAGCUCGAUGAGUAGGGCGGGACACGUGGUAUCCUGUCUGAAUAUGGGGGGACCAUCCUCCAAGGCUAAAUACUCCUGACUGACCGAUAGUGAACCAGUACCGUGAGGGAAAGGCGAAAAGAACCCCGGCGAGGGGAGUGAAAAAGAACCUGAAACCGUGUACGUACAAGCAGUGGGAGCCUCUUAAUGGGGUGACUGCGUACCUUUUGUAUAAUGGGUCAGCGACUUAUAUUCUGUAGCAAGGUUAACCGAAUAGGGGAGCCGAAGGGAAACCGAGUCUUAACUGGGCGUUAAGUUGCAGGGUAUAGACCCGAAACCCGGUGAUCUAGCCAUGGGCAGGUUGAAGGUUGGGUAACACUAACUGGAGGACCGAACCGACUAAUGUUGAAAAAUUAGCGGAUGACUUGUGGCUGGGGGUGAAAGGCCAAUCAAACCGGGAGAUAGCUGGUUCUCCCCGAAAGCUAUUUAGGUAGCGCCUCGUGAAUUCAUCUCCGGGGGUAGAGCACUGUUUCGGCAAGGGGGUCAUCCCGACUUACCAACCCGAUGCAAACUGCGAAUACCGGAGAAUGUUAUCACGGGAGACACACGGCGGGUGCUAACGUCCGUCGUGAAGAGGGAAACAACCCAGACCGCCAGCUAAGGUCCCAAAGUCAUGGUUAAGUGGGAAACGAUGUGGGAAGGCCCAGACAGCCAGGAUGUUGGCUUAGAAGCAGCCAUCAUUUAAAGAAAGCGUAAUAGCUCACUGGUCGAGUCGGCCUGCGCGGAAGAUGUAACGGGGCUAAACCAUGCACCGAAGCUGCGGCAGCGACACUAUGUGUUGUUGGGUAGGGGAGCGUUCUGUAAGCCUGUGAAGGUGGCCUGUGAGGGUUGCUGGAGGUAUCAGAAGUGCGAAUGCUGACAUAAGUAACGAUAAAGCGGGUGAAAAGCCCGCUCGCCGGAAGACCAAGGGUUCCUGUCCAACGUUAAUCGGGGCAGGGUGAGUCGACCCCUAAGGCGAGGCCGAAAGGCGUAGUCGAUGGGAAACAGGUUAAUAUUCCUGUACUUGGUGUUACUGCGAAGGGGGGACGGAGAAGGCUAUGUUGGCCGGGCGACGGUUGUCCCGGUUUAAGCGUGUAGGCUGGUUUUCCAGGCAAAUCCGGAAAAUCAAGGCUGAGGCGUGAUGACGAGGCACUACGGUGCUGAAGCGACAAAUGCCCUGCUUCCAGGAAAAGCCUCUAAGCAUCAGGUAACAUCAAAUCGUACCCCAAACCGACACAGGUGGUCAGGUAGAGAAUACCAAGGCGCUUGAGAGAACUCGGGUGAAGGAACUAGGCAAAAUGGUGCCGUAACUUCGGGAGAAGGCACGCUGAUAUGUAGGUGAAGCGACUUGCUCGUGGAGCUGAAAUCAGUCGAAGAUACCAGCUGGCUGCAACUGUUUAUUAAAAACACAGCACUGUGCAAACACGAAAGUGGACGUAUACGGUGUGACGCCUGCCCGGUGCCGGAAGGUUAAUUGAUGGGGUUAGCGGUAACGCGAAGCUCUUGAUCGAAGCCCCGGUAAACGGCGGCCGUAACUAUAACGGUCCUAAGGUAGCGAAAUUCCUUGUCGGGUAAGUUCCGACCUGCACGAAUGGCGUAAUGAUGGCCAGGCUGUCUCCACCCGAGACUCAGUGAAAUUGAACUCGCUGUGAAGAUGCAGUGUACCCGCGGCAAGACGGAAAGACCCCGUGAACCUUUACUAUAGCUUGACACUGAACAUUGAGCCUUGAUGUGUAGGAUAGGUGGGAGGCUUUGAAGUGUGGACGCCAGUCUGCAUGGAGCCGACCUUGAAAUACCACCCUUUAAUGUUUGAUGUUCUAACGUGGGCCCCUUACCGGGGUUGCGGACAGUGUCUGGUGGGUAGUUUGACUGGGGCGGUCUCCUCCUAAAGAGUAACGGAGGAGCACGAAGGUUGGCUAAUCCUGGUCGGACAUCAGGAGGUUAGUGCAAUGGCAUAAGCCAGCUUGACUGCGAGCGUGACGGCGCGAGCAGGUGCGAAAGCAGGUCAUAGUGAUCCGGUGGUUCUGAAUGGAAGGGCCAUCGCUCAACGGAUAAAAGGUACUCCGGGGAUAACAGGCUGAUACCGCCCAAGAGUUCAUAUCGACGGCGGUGUUUGGCACCUCGAUGUCGGCUCAUCACAUCCUGGGGCUGAAGUAGGUCCCAAGGGUAUGGCUGUUCGCCAUUUAAAGUGGUACGCGAGCUGGGUUUAGAACGUCGUGAGACAGUUCGGUCCCUAUCUGCCGUGG